GCCGGGUGCAGUGGCUCACGCCUGUAAUCCCAGCACCUUGGGAGGCCGAGGUGGGAGGAUCACCUGAGGUCAGGAGUUCAAGACCAGCCUGACCAACAUGGUGAAACCCCAUCUCUA
ensembl:misc_RNA Metazoa_SRP Metazoan signal recognition particle RNA